rnacentral:rRNA from 1 species
UACGGAGGGUGCAAGCGUUAUCCGGAUUCACUGGGUUUAAAGGGUGUGUAGGCGGGUAGUUAAGUCAGUGGUGAAAUCUCCAGGCUCAACCUGGAAACUGCCAUUGAUACUAUCUAUCUUGAAUAUUGUUGAGGUAGGCGGAAUAAGUCAUGUAGCGGUGAAAUGCAUAGAUAUGACUUAGAACACCAAUUGCGAAGGCAGCUUACUAAACAAUUAUUGACUGCUGAGGCACGAAAGCGUGGGGAGCAAACAGG